GCAGUGGUGGUUCCAUGGUAGAACUCUCGUCUUCCACACAGCAGAUCCAGCUUUGAUUCCUGGCCAACGCA
rnacentral:tRNA from 1 species